GUGCCAGCAGCCGCGGUAAUACGGAGGAUGCAAGCGUUGUCCGGAUUCAUUGGGUUUAAAGGGUGCGUAGGCGGAAAAUUAAGUCAGCGGUGAAAGCUUACAGCUUAACUGUAAAAAUGCCAUUGAAACUGGUUUUCUUGAGUUCGAUUGAGGUAGAUGGAAUGUACCAUGUAGCGGUGAAAUGCUUAGAUAUGAUACAGAACACCAAUUGCGAAGGCAGUCUACUAAGUCGAUACUGACGCUGAGGCACGAAAGCAUGGGGAGCAAACAGGAUUAGAUACCCUCGUAGUCC
rnacentral:rRNA from 1 species